AGAGUUUGAUCCUGGCUCAGGAUGAACGCCUAGCGGCAGGCUUAACACAUGCAAGUCGAGGGGUAACAGGGAGUAGCAAUACUCCGCUGACGACCGGCGCACGGGUGCGUAACGCGUAUGCAACCUACCUGUAACAGGGGUAUAACGGAGGGAAACUUCCACUAAUCCCCCAUAUUGUUGUGGAUUCGCAUGUUUCCACAACGAAAGCUUUCUGUGGUUACGGAUGGGCAUGCGUGACAUUAGCUAGUUGGUAAGGCAACGGCUUACCAAGGCGACGAUGUCUAGGGGAGCUGAGAGGCUUAUCCCCCACACUGGUACUGAGACACGGACCAGACUCCUACGGGAGGCAGCAGUGAGGAAUAUUGGUCAAUGGACGGAAGUCUGAACCAGCCAUGCCGCGUGGAGGAAGAAGGUCCUAUGGGUUGUAAACUCCUUUUGCUCCAGAGUAAUAAGGCUCCUGCGGGGGUCGAUGAGAGUAUGGGGCGAAUAAGCAUCGGCUAACUCCGUGCCAGCAGCCGCGGUAAUACGGAGGAUGCAAGCGUUAUCCGGAUUUAUUGGGUUUAAGGGGUGCGCAGGCGGACUGUUAAGUCAGCGGUGAAAUCUCAUGGCUCAACCAUGGAACUGCCGUUGAUACUGGCAGACUAGAGUACGGACGGCGCCGGCGGAAUGUGUCAUGUAGCGGUGAAAUGCUUAGAUAUGCCACAGAACACCGAUCGCGAAGGCAGCUGGCGAGGCCGGGGACUGACGCUCAGGCACGAAAGCGUGGGGGUCAAACAGGAUUAGAUACCCUGGUAGUCUACGCAGUAAACGAUGAAGACUUGUUGUCGGCGAUAGAAUGUCGGUGACAAAGCGAAAGCGAUAAGUCUUCCACCUGGGGAGUACGAUCGCAAGGUUGAAACUCAAAGGAAUUGACGGGGGCCCGCACAAGCGGAGGAGCAUGUGGUUUAAUUCGAUGAUACGCGAGGAACCUUACCUGGACUCAAAUGUUGGGCGACCGUUCCAGAAAUGGGACUUCCCUUCGGGGCGCUCAGCAAGGUGCUGCAUGGUUGUCGUCAGCUCGUGCCGUGAGGUGUCAGGUUAAGUCCUAUAACGAGCGCAACCCCUACGUCCAGUUGCCAGCGGGUGAAGCCGGGGACUCUGGACGGACUGCCGGCGCAAGCCGAGAGGAAGGUGGGGAUGACGUCAAAUCAGCACGGCCCUUACGUCCAGGGCGACACACGUGCUACAAUGGCCGGUACAGAGGGCAGCCACCCCGCGAGGGGGAGCGAAUCUCGAAAGCCGGUCUCAGUUCGGAUCGGAGUCUGCAACUCGACUCCGUGAAGUUGGAUUCGCUAGUAAUCGCGCAUCAGCCAUGGCGCGGUGAAUACGUUCCCGGGCCUUGUACACACCGCCCGUCAAGCCAUGAAAGUCCGGGGUACCUGAAGUCCGUGACCGAGAGGAGCGGCCUAGGGUAAAACGGGUAAUUGGGGCUAAGUCGUAACAAGGUAGCCGUACCGGAAGGUGCGGCUGGAUCACCUCCUUUCU
rnacentral:rRNA from 1 species